rnacentral:rRNA from 1 species
UACGUAGGGGCCUAGCGUUGUCCGGAAUUAUUGGGCGUAAAGAGCUCGUAGGUGGUUCGGCACGUCGGAUGUGAAAUCUCCACGCUUAACGUGGAGGGGCCAUUCGAAACUGCUGUGACUUGAGUCCGGUAGGGGAGUGUGGAAUUCCCGGUGUAGCGGUGAAAUGCGCAGAUAUCGGGAGGAACACCAGUAGCGAAGGCGGCACUCUGGGCCGGUACUGACACUGAGGAGCGAAAGCGUGGGGAGCGAACAGG